AGCCCGUGACUAAAGCAUCAGUGGAGGUCCGUGGAAAUACUGGAUUUCAAGUGUUGGAACGUUCAUUAUUCUGGGCAGAAAUCAGACAAGUGUAAGAUUAAUAUCUUGGGAAGACACACCCUGCUGCCGAAUAACAGAGAGAAGACAUGCGGAGCGAUAAAAAAUAGUACAGACUCCACCACCAGCAUGUGUUUGGCCUGUCUGGGGUGUCAUCCAGCUCAGCCAGCAGUGUUCGCUGUUGUCCUCGGUACACAUUUCUUCCAGCUGUAGGGGGAGAGGCGAUGGGAGGCUGGGCAGGCACAUUUAUAACCACCUUUCUGGUUCAAACACAGGUGGACACUCAGCGAUGCAGCUGUGUCCGUCUCCAGCUAAGAUGUGGCCGUACGUGCAGGAACAUCGGUAGGAUCCCGGCACGAUUGUCGCGCCCUCCUCCACCCCGUUCAUCUUCAGCCAUCGUAUCCAGAGUCCAGGACAAGCUCAACGAAGACUCAUCCAGAUCAUUAGCACUUCUCCAUUUUCUCCACAUCCUCUUCUCAUCUCAUCUUCACCACCUCUGCCUCCACCAGCGUCUACACCCUGGAGGGUUCCCUAUUCGACUAUGGAUUCAUCACCCUCCUAAAAUCAAUCUCGAUGGAGUGUAAUCGCCAAAGACUUUUCACAUUUUUCAUUGUUACGUGCACAUGUUAAUAAAUAUUAUUUUACUAUGAAAGCUAUACCAAUAUUGUCAUGAUCCUGGCUUUUUUGUUUAUAAUCUGUCAUCCUUUGUUUUGUUUUGGAGUUUUCUGUUUGUGUUCCUUGUUUCAUGUUUAAACUCUUUCCUGUUUUAUUUUGUAGAUUCUCUCCUCAUGUGUCAUGUCUGGUUUUACUUCCUGUCUUUGUGUUUUCCCGCCUGUUUUCUGUCACACCUGUCUCGUUAGUCCUUCCCUGUUCCCAGCAAGGCUAUUCAAGAGAAGGCUGAGACACGGGGUCAAACAUGGGGGGAUUGCACAUGCGCAGUAAAAUCUGGUCUGCACUUCCUCAAAGGCUCAGUAGAUGGCGUGAGACCGCAGAAUAAAGGGGAUGUGCAUGCAUGUCAUUUUCACAGCUUAUUACUGGACUGUCACUGGUGGCCUGCGUUGUGGGUGAGAAUGACAGGGAUGCAAUUCCGACAACAAAGUCCAAGCAGACCGCACCAAGCGCACUCCUUGAUCGCCUGAGCGGAUCCUGCGCUUUUUAUCCAGCGCCCCUGCUGUCACCCUCCAGCAUCGCAGCUCAAGUUACACUGCGCAUGUGCAAUCCCCCCAUGUUUGACCCCGUGUCUCAGCCUUCUCUUGAAUAGCCUUGGUUCCCAGAGUCUUCCCUUCACACCUGUUCUGUAUUAGUCUUGUUUGCUCCACCCUCGUGUUCCCCACCCAACCCUUGUUGUUAGCCAAUCCCCAUUUCCCUCCUUUUGCUUGUGUCCUCCUUCCUCCAGCUGUGUCUCGUUCUUGUGAUUAGUUUUCUGUGUAUAUAUACCCGUGUGUUUCCCUUUGUUCUUUAUCAGUUCAUCCUGCGUUCAUCCCUGUGUACUUGGUGCCGUUCUGUGCACCGUUUUUUACCUGAGUUCAUCGUAUUAUUGCGGUUGGUUUUCAGUUUAGCUUUGGUUCUACUUUCAUUUGUUUUUUUUAGGGUGUUUUCACACUUGGUCCUUUUUAAAUGAACUAAACUCAGUCCUUUUAAAGUGCACCAAAAGGUGGACCAACAGAAAAAGGACUCCGUUCUCUUUCUGGUCAACUUCAGCUCUGAUGGGGCCUCAAUCUUCUUUCUGUUCACACUAUAUAUACUAUAUAUUGACAUAGUUUUGUUUUUACUUGGAUGUGGCACUGCAGUGCGGUUAUGAACUUAAAAUUGGAGGAAAACCUAAGCAUUUCUGUACGUUGUGGACAGUUGCCAUUUGAUGAUUUCCUCGUUCCAUAGCUAGAGGAAUGCAGUUGUUUCAUCGUCAGUCCACUGGUCGUGCUGUCAUUACCUGUGGCCAUGGUUCCACUGUGUUUAUUAUGUGUCCCACUGAAAUAGUGUGAGAUCUGUCUACGGCAAGUUUGGAGGGUUACAAUACAGUAGCAAAAGGCAAAGCGGACCCGGAGCCUUUUGUGUUCACAAGGCACAGGUUAAGUGAACCACACCGCAGACUUGAAGCAAACUGAACUCAGACCAUCUCCCGAGUUCAGUUCGCUUCAGAGGGGUCCGAGUUCUCUUGGAGUGUUCCCAUAUGCAUAAAAAAAUGCUGAGUCACCACUCUGAGUCCGCUUAGAGGGCUGAAAAGGACCAAGUGUGAAAACACCCUAAGUUACCUGCCUCUACCGGAUGUUUUUUAUCAGCUGCAUUAAAGCUGGCUUUUUUUGUGACCUGUGUCACAUGAUCUGUACAUGCUCUUCAAUUGCACACCUGUUUCCAGUGCGUUUUCCAUCCUGAUGAAGACUUCAGUCGAAACUUGUUUGUUUAUCCAUGUAUUAAUAAAGGAUUUUUAACUGCA